AACACUGUUAACCUGCGGUACCUGCGGAGGGAUCAUUACCGAGUGCGGGCCCUCUGGGUCCAACCUCCCACCCGUGUUUAUUGUACCUUGUUGCUUCGGCGGGCCCGCCAUUCUGGCCGCAAAGGGGCACCUGCCCCUACGCCCGCGCCCGCCGAAGACAUCUCGAACUCUGUCUGAAGAUUGAAGUCUGGGUGGAAUUACAAAUUAGUUAAAACUUUUAACAACGGAUCUCAGAUCGGA
rnacentral:misc_RNA from 1 species